rnacentral:rRNA from 1 species
ACAGGUGCUGCAUGGCUGUCGUCAGCUCGUGUUGUGAAAUGUUGGGUUAAGUCCCGCAACGAGCGCAACCCUUAUCCUUUGUUGCCAGCGGUUAGGCCGGGAACUCAAAGGAGACUGCCAGUGAUAAACUGGAGGAAGGUGGGGAUGACGUCAAGUCAUCAUGGCCCUUACGACCAGGGCUACACACGUGCUACAAUGGCAUAUACAAAGAGAAGCGACCUCGCGAGAGCAAGCGGACCUCAUAAAGUAUGUCGUAGUCCGGAUUGGAGUCUGCAACUCGACUCCAUGAAGUCGGAAUCGCUAGUAAUCGUAGA